ACGAUGUAUUCGUGUCCAAACUCGUCUACCAUAAUCGAAUCGUGUCGCUUGGACAAUGGAUGACCUCGAUUGUAAGGGAACAUAAAAGAACUUCCAGCAGAAAUAUUGGAUUCGUCUUGUGAAAUAAAUUCUUCGGUUGAGCUAGGUCUCUCAGGUGAAUCAUAAGCAUCCUCAUCUGGCUCUUCUUCUAGAAUAUCAGAAUAAGAAUCAUCUUGUUCAUGAAUGAAUGGAUUCGCAAAAGAAGGAGCAGGGUGUUGGAUGUUGUUAUACUGAUCAUUAGACUGUAAUUGCUCACCAUAAGCGUAAUUGGAAU